rnacentral:lncRNA from 1 species
GGUUUGGGGNCAGAUACAUGUGUGUUAGAAUGUGUUUAGGAGUUGUAUCUGAAGAAUGACUCACUGAGUUGGGAGGAAAUGAAUAGACUUUGGUCAGGAGAUUAAAUUCUGAUGGGGACAGAAAAAAACAAAAAAACAAUAAAGCCUUUGUAAUUGAAGGGACCUGGAGAAAGGAGGUAGUGUCCUGAAUGACAGUAUCUUAUCUCUGUGUUGUUUCCAGGCUCCUUAAUCCUACAGGCUCCUUAUUCUGUGUUUGAAGGAGACAUAUUGGUUCUGAGAUGCCAGCAAAGGGGAAAAGAGAAACUGACCUCCGUGAAAUACACUUGGAAUGGAAAAGUCCUUCUCGUUUCUAACAAAAGCUUGGAUCUUUUUAUCCCAAGAGCAGGUUUAAAUAACAGUGGCUUUUAUCAAUGCAUUGGAUUUAGGAACCAAAAAUUGGCAGAUAAGUCAGCUACCGAAUAUAUUGGGAUUAAAGGUAAAUCCUUCAUUUCAUAUAGAUUCAUUUAGUAAUGUCAGGGUGGAGAAACUGGGCCUGUCAGGAGGGAUUUAUAGGUGAAUAUUGGAACCCUGAAUACUGGAGACUUAUGAGUCCCUCCAGGAGGCAGAGAAAGUGGAGUGAUUGGACUUGAAUUGUCCUAGGAAAGAAAAACAUAAUCGAGAGCUUGAUAUAUUUAAUCUUGUAUGUCUGAAGUUUCCGGGGACAGAGAAUCCAAGCCUGUUCCUCCCAGAGUGCUAAAUACCCUCGUGCUCAGAACUUGAUCUUCCUUUUCUCUCCAGAAUUAUUUCCACGUCCGAACCUGAAAGUCACAGCCCUUCAGCCUACAGAAGGGAACUCUGUAAACCUGAGCUGUGAAACGCAUCUUCCUCCAGAGAGAUUGGACACCCCUCUUCACUUCAUCUUCUUCAGAGAUGACAGAAUCGUCCUGUCAAGUUGGAGCAACUUCUCAGGGCUCCAGAUCCCCACCAUCUGGAGAGAAGACUCGGGACGGUAUAGAUGUGGGGCUGCAACUGUGACAAGCAGCAUCCAGAAGCUCAGCUCCUCCUGGGAGAUCCUCGUACAGAGUAAGUAGGCAGAGCCAGGGGGCUGGGUGGGACUGAGGCAUCUUUCCCACGUCUCUGGGCUCCUUCUGGCCCGUGGGUGUAGGGACUAUCCAAAAGAGAUUUGUUUUGUCAUUCUGAUAGGGGCACCAGGCUUAAACUCAGAAGCGAGGAACUAUAUAAUAAAAGAAAUAGGGGAUUUCAUUUCUACCUUCAUUUCCCAAAAACUUAGUCUUCCUUUCAAACUCUUUUAUGUUGGAGUGAUAGAGCUGAUGCCUGGAGUUAGAUUCAAGAACUGGGGUUAAAAAACAAGAAAACGAGGUUCCCUGUUAUUGAGUUGGCAGAUCCAGCAUGCCAGAACCCAGGGCAAACUAUUUAGAAGACAAAUACCCACCUCUUCCUAAUCAAUAGCAAAAACAAUAUACUGUCUGUGAGGUGUGCCGCAGAGGUGAGGGAGACAUAUAAAGGUAAAUACACUAAAUACCAUCUUGUCUAUGUUUACAGGUGAUUGGAAUUGAACUUAUAUUUCAUUAGAAGAGUUAGUAAAGCCAGAAUGAAAAAACGGCUAGGUUUUUGUUGUUGUUGUUGUUGUUAUAGUUGUUCUUUUGUUUGUUUCUAAGGCAGUGUCUUGCUAAGUUUCCCAGUCUGGCCUAGAACUUGCAACCCUCCUGCAUCAGCCUCCUAAGUUUCUGGGAUUACAGGCAUGCACCACUGUACCCAGAAAUGAGAGGGCCAGUUUCAUUAAACGUGGCCUUCUCAAAGAAAUUUUCUUCUUAAGGGACCAAAAACUUGUAUGUCCCUUACAUGGUGGCCUAUUUUUUUUCCCUGAUAUUAAAUAAAAAUUGUCAAUCAGCCCAAAAAGAAAAAUAUCAUCUUGUCUUAGGUACCAACGUAGGGCUUCAGGAAUCAGGUGUGGUCCAGCUUAGUCCCAUAACAACCACUAUUUCUAUUACCUAUCUCUCGAAACAAUUCAGACCACCAGCUAGGUCAGACAGAGCUCAAAUGCUUCUCGAGGAAUGGUCGAUUUUUCUCUCGUGGGGCUUUGUGUGUUAGGCCGGAAAGGUUAGCACAUUUAGUGAUGUCCUCGAUUCAAAAUCCAUAGUCCAUUGAUCACAGCACUAGUAUCCUCUAAGGAGGACACCUAAAGUCACGUGAAAAGUGACUCUGUCUGAAACCAGUCCUGCCUUCCCCACACCUGGCCCUCAGCUUCUGCUCCUGUUCCCGCAGGGGUCCCUGUGUCUCAGGUCUCCUUGGAGACCCAGCCCCCAGGAGGCCAGGCAAUUGAGGGGGAGAUGCUGGUCCUUGUCUGCUCCGUGGCUGAAGGCACAGGGGUCACCACAUUCUCCUGGCACAGAGAGAACACGACGGAGAGUCUGGGGAGGAAGGCUCAGCGUUCCCAGAGAGCAGAGCUGGAGAUCCCAGUCGUCCGGGGGAGCCACGGCGGGGGAUUCUACUGCACAGCAGACAACAGCUACGGCCCCGUGCAGAGCCAGGUGGUGAACGUCACUGUGAGGGGUGAGUCUUCAUCACCACUGACCCUCUUUCUUCUGCGCAUAUUUCCUCAAACUAGGAGUGGGCCUACCCAACAUUAACUUUCUGACUCAUCUUUACCCGACUUCUUUUUCCAUCCUCCCCAUGACAGACAAUCUCUUUCCAUCAGAAUGUUAACAAACCAGUCCGGUCAGUGGAAAGUAAUACAGUGAGGUAAAGCUGGCCGGAAGCCAUCUUUGCCUCUUGGAGCUGAUUUUGUGUGUCUGUUCUCUGAUCCUCUGUGCGCUGAUCUCAAAGAGUAGCCUUACCUCAUUAGCAGCGUUGUAGCUCUGUCACCUAAGUGUCACCUAUACCUCUCCUUUCAGUAAAUGAUUCAUUGCACAUCCGAUCCGUGUCCUCGAGGUGGACAGAACCAAAGGCAUAAGGCAGCCCUCUGCUUCGUACUGCAGGCCUGAGGGAUUCCCAGCUUCACAAUUACAUGCAGGAAACGCCUAAGUACGGUGAGCAGAUCCAGAGCCCAGCUUUGUCCCCUAGGCAGACAAGCCUUGCUUUGGGAUCCUCCAGGUCUAGUUCAUGCCCUCUUGUGUGCCCAAGAAGCCACAGUGGGCCAAGCCAUGUUCUCAGUCAACACUCGGCACUAAGGAUGUGGUUUCUCCUGGGCUUCAGCUCCUCUCCCACCCUGGGUUCAGUGCCUCCCUAGGCAUUCACUAAAUCGUCCAUCCAUCGAGAAGCUACUGGAAAACUAGAUGUCCCUGCUUUCCUUUCCAGUAAAACUCCUCAAAAGGAGUUCUCUCUACUGGCUCUCCUCACUUCUUCCAUUUCUCUCAAAUCCUUCUCUCAGGCUUGGCUCACUCCACUGAGUUACUCUUGUAAAGGUCACCAAUGACCUCCAAUGACCUCCAUAAUGCUGAGGCCGGGUAAAGCUCGGCUUCCAUUUUACUUGAUCUUCCUCCAGCUCUUGUCUCAAAUGAUCCCACCUUCUUGAAAUACUGUCCUUAACUUCUGGGGCACAACUCUUGGCUUUUUAUCGGACACUCCUUUUAGGUUUCUUUUCAGAGCCUCAUCAUAUUUCCAACUUGUCCAUUUUGGAGACUCCUCCUGGGGCUCUGUUCUCAGAUACUCUGUGCCCAGACUCUCCAUCAUCUCACCCAGUCUCAUGGCUUUAAAUGCACUUAUGACUUCCAGGUAUUGAGGACUCUCAAACUCAGCCUAUAGCUAGACCUUCUAGCUAAAAAAGUCUGACCCUCUGUUUCUUCCUCAGAUUUUCCAGGAACACCACCCCCCAGGCCUUGCGCAAUGCUCUUCCUUGAUAUCCUCGGCUCGCUCCCUCAUUUGUUCCAGGGCUCUGUUCUUCUCAAGGAGUCCUUCCCCCACCAUCCUUUAUAACAUGUAGCCCUUCACCGCAGCACUCCCUCCUCCAGUCCCUCUUGAGUCUCCCCCGACAUGCUCAUCACCAACUAUCAUGCGCUUCUUUGCUGUCCUCUCCCCUCCUCUAGCCUUAGCCUCAGGACAGCAGAUCCAUGUUCCGACCAUUAUAGUAUCCCCGAUGCCGGAAACAGUGCCGGCGUAACUCAGCCAUUCCAUAAAUGCUUGCUGAAUGAAUGAAUUUCUCAUCCAUCCUCUCUGUCGAUUGUACUAAGAGUCCUAGAAAAUAAAGACAUGACCAUCUGCAUUCUACCGACAGGGAAGGUGGAGCUCAGAGAGGUCUUGUCGUGUGCAUAGUCACAGGGUUUAUACAUGGCAGCCCAGAUUUGAACCUCUGCUGUCAGAGAGACGACAGCAACAUCAACGUUCUCCCGAGGCCACGCUGUCGAGUUCCUACACUGUCAACCAUGCUCCAUAAGCAGUCAGCUCUGACAGUCAGAGCCAUGAACCCGAACAGUUUAGACAGAGGCUGGGGGAAGGGUGGCUGUGCUAAUGGCCCAGCUGCUACUCAGUUUUCUCUGCAACUCCCUUGAGGCAAGUCCUGAGAUAAAGCAGGGGUCCUCCCAGGUAGGGGACUGAUGUCUUCCCAGAACAGAAGGAGCUGCAUCUCCGUCUUAGAACAGCUUCGGGACGUGAAACACCGGGUGCAAUUCCUGGCAGAAAAGGACUGAGAUGGAGUAGGUGGCAUUUCAAGAAUCAGCUUGGGAGAAGGGAAAGAGGUUAGGAAAACUGAAAGCCACCAGAUCACACUCUAAAGACUCCUAGGUACCCUGAAAUCCAGAGUGGCUCUGAAGGCAGGAGGUGCCACUUCUCCAGGAAGCCACCUGUCCUGAAAAGUUUGCCCAGGGAGCUGAGGUUAUGACCCCUGUGGAGGGUUGAAGUCAAUCUAUUGGAGACUGACACUUGAGUGUAAAAUUACUCUUCUUGCUUGGGGGGUUAAGGUAAUGGGAUGGAUUAGGCUUCUCUGCUCCAGGGAGUGAGCUGGUCACUUCACACGUGUAAUUUCAUUUUCCUCUCUCAGCUUCCCUGCAUAUGUGGGCUUGGCUACUUUUUCAUAUACUAGGGAAACAUCAUCUCAGAGAGUUAGACAGACGGCAAGGAUGCAGUUGAUGUUCGAUGGAGUGAGGUUUCCUUCUAAAUUUGUGGACCUAAUGCAAAUAUCUCUGUGCUCAUAAAUGGGCAAAUUUAUAACAAGACAUUAAUUCUGCAGUAGGCUUAAGGUAGGCUGUCUGGGGGCAGCUCAGGUCACCAUAAUAAAAUUCCAUCCACUGAGGCUGGUGUUGUAGCUCAGUGUAGCUUUUCUACUGGCUGUGUGGUAAGUAGCCAACAUGCAUGAGGCCCUGGGUUCAGAUCUUACUACUCAACAUCUCGUCAUAAGUGACUUAAACCACAGAAAGUUAUUUUCUCACUGGUUUAGAGGCUGGAAGUUUGAAAUGAGGGCAUCGAUAGGGUUCGGUUCUGGUGAGGAUUCUAUUGCUGAUUUGCAGAUGGCUGCCUUCUUGCUGUGUCCUCACGUGGCAAAGAAAGAGGGAGGGAGGGAGGGAGGGAGGGAGAGAGACAAGAGCAAGUUUUCUAAUGCCUCUUCUUAGAAAGGUUUUAAUUCAUCAUGAGGCUCCCCACCCACAUGACUUCAUUGAAGUUAACUACCUUCCAAAGGCCCAUGUUCAAAUAUGACCACCUUGGGGUUAGAGCUUCAACCUAUGAACUUUGAGGGGACAUACUGCAAGGAUUGAGGUUGGCUGCUGUGGUGCUACAGGGGAGCAAGCUUAACCUGUGGGGUUAAGAGCUAAUACUGAGGUAGACAUAGCACUUACAUUGUCGGCACUGUUUGUUCAAAGCACUGAACAAUAUUAACUCACUUAAUCCGCCAACAACAGUAAAUAGAUGUUAUGGUCCCCAUUUUUCAAAGGAGAAAACAGAAGUCCAGAAAGAUUAAAUUAUAUUCCCUGGCCACACAGUUGGUAAAUGGAAAAGCUGGAAUCCUAACCCAAUAAUCUGGUUUUAGAAUCCUGUGCCUUUCUAAGACAAAUUUCAACUACAUCCUCAAGAGUAGCCAUUUCUUCUAGGAAACUGGGUUACCAGAAAGGAGGGAUAAUUUGCUUUCUACCCAUUAAAUCUGAAAUCCCAGGCCUGGGUAUGGUUGAUUCUGGUUUUGCUCAAGAAGAUGCCCUGGAAGGCAAAUGAGGAAAGAUUCUUUCUUCCACUCUCCAACCAUCUUUAGCGGUCAGGAUGAGGAGGCUGGGCUGGCUGCCCGCUGAACCCUGCUUGUAGACGGAACCACUCAUGGGUCCAAUGGCAGGUUUGUUAGAUUUGUCAGGAUGGAAAAAUAGAGACAGAAAUUUCCCUCACUGGCCGCCAGCCAUUUAUUUUGUUCCAAGAAUCAUAAAUGAAAUAAUUGGAAAUUACCAUUAGCAUUGCUAUUGUUCUGACAUCAGGUGUCCUCUGUUUGAAUCUGAGACACUUGUCAUGUCUGAAGCUGACUUCCCCAGGGACCUAGAAUCUGUGUGAAAAGCCCCACCCACUCCUGUCCUUCCAUCCUACAUUAGUUCUGUGGCCUUUAUAAAUUUGUUCAUUGUCUGUCUCCCUCACUAGACCACAGGUCCAAGAAGGCGGGACCUUUUCUAUCAUUUUUCACUGCUGUAUCUUCAAGGUUUAGAUCAGUGCCUGGCGUGUGCUGGGCAUGUUCGUUGGGUGAGUGGAAGAAUUGAGUGAAAUCUCUCUCGCUGUGGAUGACAGGGUAGGAGAGUGGACCCUAAGGAAAAAUCAGAAACGUCCAACAACUCACUUUGUUGUGUAUGGAAAUAUGGAAAAAUUCCAUAUUUUCUGGGUUACUCCUCCCUGGACCACACAGGGUGAAUUUUUCUGGCCUUGUCUUGGCCCAAAAUUUCUCUCCCCCACCCCACUUUUUAGACCCAUAAUUUCUCGUCCCUCUCCCCCUCCCAGACAAGCUAAAGAGAGUUUCCAGGAUUGGAAUGCGUGGUGAUUCCAAACCCCAAGCCUCUCCUGCCCCGGCUCACACAGCCUCUCUCCCCUUAGUGAUUCCCAGCAACAGAAAUGCCCUCAUCGCCGGAGGAGCCGCUGGGGGACUGCUCAGCUUUCUUUUCCUGCUUGGGGCCCUGCUGUUUUUCCACUGGCACAGGACGAAAUCAGGUUAGUGUCCUUCUCUUGCCUUUGCCAGGGUCCCUGCCCUGUUCUUGCGUCAGACACCCCAGCUUCGCUCAGCCUCAGUAACCACCAAGCCGCUCUGCAGGUCUCCUCCUUACAGCGCAGUUCCCCAAACAGACCAGUGUGUGAGGGCUGCUUAGACCUGGUUCACUGAGUCUCAAGUGGAAGGAAGGAAAGAGAGAGAAUCUUUAAUGAAUAAAGUUUCAAACACUACCUUAACGGUUCUGGGGGGCAGUUUCUUUGGUUCAUACAGGUCGACCAACUAGAUCAUUCAGCCCGACCCAAAUCUAUAAAUGGAUCUUCGAACUAAACUGAAAGGCUCUGGAGAAAUGAUUGUGAAGGUUUCCUGGGCCUUAUUGGCUUGAACCUGCCCUGGCCUUGCUCUCCAUCGGUCAGCCUCCCCUACCUUGGGAGAAGGUCUCUCCCAGGCACUGUCGACCAUGUGCUUCCAAAGCCUUCUUGCUCAAGACCAGGUCAAACUAGUUUCAGAUGACAGAAAACAUGGUGUAAAAGAUAGGUACAGAGCCAGGCACAGUGGCGGACACCUGUAGUCCAAGUGACCCAGGAGGCUGAGGCAGGAGGAUUACAUAUUCAAGGCCAGCCUCAGCAACUUAGCAAGGUCCUAGCACUUAGUGAAAACCUGUCCUAAAAUAAAAAAUAAAAAAGAGCUGGGGAUGUAGCUCAGUGGUAAAGCCUCCUGGGUUCAAUCCCCAGUACAAAAAGAAAAAAAAAGAAUAGAGAGGCUUUCAGUUCUAGAAAAUUACCCACACCCUACAACUCUUUCUCUUACUUCAUUUAAUUCAAUUGAGCCCUCCAGAUCCUUGGGAGCACUUCCACAUACCGUGUAUUGAGCUGGAGGUGGAGAACUUUGGGCCUCUGAUGAGUCUCCUUAAUAUGCUUGAGGCAGAGCCUGAGGUUCCUCUGGACAUAGCCACAGAUGUUCCUUGAAGUCUACCCUCAGCCACUUCUCUACGAGGAUGAUGAUUUGGUUACAUUUAAUAUUUCUUGAGUUACAGUAACACAGCCUUGAACCCUAAUAAAGUCUCAUAUAAUGUAACCCAGGAAUGUGUAGCACUGGCCCCAGCAAGUUCCAUCCUUUGAUGCUGUGUUCCCAUCCUUUUUCAAAGUAUAUUGAUGAGAAUCAGGACUUGGCUGGUGUUUAAAUGGUCCCCCCUACACACCUCCCCCACACACACCUCCCCCCACCCACCGCCCUGCAGUAGCUCAUGUAUGUGAAGUCUUUGAGAAAGAGCUCCCUCUGCUGACAUGAAUGUGCCUUUGCUUUAUUUUGCAGGAGGUGGUUUC